rfam:Myotis brandtii contig296956, whole genome shotgun sequence.
GGUGGUUCUUGGGUGAUGCACCUCGGAAUCGGACACCCUUCUCUCUGGUUCCAGGUGCGUCACCCAAGAACCGCA